CCCGCUGAACUUAAGCAUAUCAAUAAGCGGAGGAAAAGAAACUAACAAGGAUUCCCCUAGUAACUGCGAGUGAAGCGGGAAGAGCUCAAAUUUAAAAUCUGGCGUGCCUCUGGUCGUCCGAGUUGUAGUCUGGAGAAGUGUUUUCCGUGUUGGACCGUGUAUAAGUCUCUUGGAACAGGGCGUCAUAGAGGGUGAGAAUCCCGUCUUUGACACGGACUACCAAUGCUUUGUGAUGCGCUCUCAAAGAGUCGAGUUGUUUGGGAAUGCAGCUCAAAAUGGGUGGUAAAUUCCAUCUAAAGCUAAAUACAGGCGAGAGACCGAUAGCGAACAAGUACCGUGAGGGAAAGAUGAAAAGCACUUUGGAAAGAGAGUUAAACAGUACGUGAAAUUGCUGAAAGGGAAACGCUUGAAGUCAGUCAUGUCUGCCAGGACUCAGCCUUGCUUCUGCUUGGUGUACUUUCUGGCUGGAUGGGCCAACAUCGAUUUUGACCGUUGGAGAAAGGCUUUGGGAAUGUGGCACCUUUGGGUGUGUUAUAGCCCUUUGUUGUAUACAACGGUUGGGACCGAGGACUGCAGCACGCCUUUAUGGCCGGGGUUCGCCCACGUACGUGCUUAGGAUGUUGGCGUAAUGGCUUUAAGCGACCCGUCUUGAAACAC
rnacentral:rRNA from 1 species